rnacentral:misc_RNA from 1 species
AAAUCUCAACCUUCUCGGUUUUCUUCUGGACACCGAAGGAGGCUUGGACUUUGGAGGCCUUUGCUGGCAUCUCUCUCUUCUUGAGAGCCAGCUCCUCUUAAACGAAUUAGCGGGGUCCUCUUUGCCGAUCCUCGACAUGUGAUAAGAUGUUUCCAUGACUUGGUUUCUGGCUCUGUUGCCUUUGGGACCCGCUUCUAACCGUCUCGACGAGACAACGUUUGGGCGUGUCUCCCUUCUCGGGAGACUCUCUCAACCCCACGAAC